GAUAAAGUGACAGUAAAAUACCCAGGUAACAUAAAGUGGAAAACAUAUUUAUACCUUGGACGUGGUACCAGUCUAUCACAGGGCACCGACACAGUGGAGAAGACAGGCCUGCGUACAUACAAAAUUAUUGACGGGCUGCGAAACUACGGUUCAAGGAGACUUCAUUCAACAUGAUCUUCCCUAGCCACCAAGUAAUCGCUGGGGAGGAAACUUGAGCACCUGUGUGAUACACAAGGAGACGAUCUGGACUAAUGAGCCGAGACGUCUUGGACAUCC
rnacentral:lncRNA from 1 species